CAGAUGGCACUGAGUCCUCAUGAGCUUGGGGAAAAGGAGAGAAAGAAAUUCUCUGGAAAGCAUCCUGACAAGGACCCACAAAGUUCAAGUUAUCAGCCACAACUCCCCAGUUAUCUCCAUCUGUGAAGUGGGAAUAGCCUGUUUGUCAGAGCACGCUUGUGAGACGUAAUUCAUUAAUGCCUGUGAAAUGGUUUGAGAUCAACGAAUGGAAGUCUCUGUUCAAGUGUCAGACAGGAUAAUCAAAACAGAAUAAAACCUAUUUUGUGAUAUGAAUGAGAAUAUGCACCACUAAGUAUUAUGUAUGAAAUGUAUUGGAGCUUCAAGCCCAACUC